UUUCUGUACUAGAUUCUCAUAACAUAGCAUCACCUUUUACCUGCAGCUUUCAUCGCGGCAACGAACAGCGCGCCGGCGUAACGAGGCCCUUCGGGAAGGCGGAGGAGCGUUCCCGCAGCCUGCAGCUGGCUGGGGAAGCUGCCCGGCAUGCCGUGCUGGGGGCAGCGGGAGCAGGGCCCAGCACUUUGCACAGCUCCCCAAGAGCAGCCCCACAUCUUCCCAGCGAGAGGYCCCUGGAGCUCAUUCCUGCAUGUAUCUGCUGCUUAAUGAACUUAAUGAACUCGGGCACCGCRACCUCUGCAGUCACACCGUGGUCCUGCCCUCGGCUGCUCGUCUCACGUAAUGGGGCACGCCGAGGUGGCGUGUCCCCAUCGCUAGGAAAACAGCUGUGCGCCCCACGGGAACAUGGCAAGCUGGAGUUUCCUACCGAGCUGCAGCGUMUGAGCUGGGACUUGUGGGAAAAUCCCUCGGAGGCGAGCCUUGAGAGAAAGCAUGCAAGACUCGAAGCUGCAGUCAGCCCUCCUGCUUCUGGGCUGGAAGCAGAGACAUGGCAGCAGGACUUGUGGUGGAAAUGGCAGUGAAGAUCCCCCCAGGAAGCGGAGUGGGGGGACGGUGGGCUGGAGCUGGCUGAGGCAGACCGGAGCCAUGCCGAAGGGAAAGCAGGUUAUCUGCCAGGGACAUCGGAGAAAAUAGCCCUGGCUUGUUUCAGCGCUGUGCCCUUCUGAGUGUGAUCAGCGAGGAACAGCAGAACUGCUGUGACAUUUGUAGCCGGUGGUUGCUGCCAGCCUGUCCUGUCGUCCCUGCUUGUCUGACACGAAACGGCUCAGGCAGAUGCUGUGAACAAGCUUCCCCGCUUGCUUUGAUUGCUUCCCAGGGAUUCCUCCAUUUGCAUUAUAAUGAAGUGAUAUUUUGCUGUAUAAAUAAACCUGAAAGUUGACAUAUAAAGGACUUACCA
rnacentral:lncRNA from 1 species